rnacentral:rRNA from 1 species
GCCGACACCUGUUCCCAUGCCGAACACAGAAGUUAAGCUCCUUAGCGUCGAUGGUAGUCGAACUUACGUUCCGCUAGAGUAGAACGUUGCCAGGC